UACAGAGGUCCCAAGCGUUGUUCGGAUUCACUGGGCGUAAAGGGUGCGUAGGUGGCCAGGUAAGUUCGGUGUGAAAGCUCGGAGCUUAACUCCGAAAUGUCAUUGAAUACUAUCUGGCUGGAGGGUUGGAGGGGAGACUGGAAUUCUCGGUGUAGCAGUGAAAUGCGUAGAUAUCGAGAGGAACACCAGUGGCGAAGGCGAGUCUCUGGACGACUCCUGACACUGAGGCACGAAAGCUAGGGGAGCAAACAGG
rnacentral:rRNA from 1 species